GGGGCGGGGGGCGGCCGGGGGCGGCGCCCGGGGCGCGGGGUCCCGGGGCGCGCGCGAGCCUCCUGCGGCGGCGCCCCUGGUCCGCCGCUCCCGCCCCUCCCCCCGUCGCCCCCCAGAAAUGUUGCAAACUUUUGCAGCCCGUGCUGGGCUCCUGGGAGGAGGGGGCGGGGAGGCGGCGGCGGGGUUGACAGCCGGCGGACGCGACCCCUGGCUUUGAUUUUUUAAAUUUUUUCAUUUUUUUUUAUUUUUGCAAAGACAGGAGAAGAGCCGCGCUGCCCACAUUAAAUUCGCUCCCCCAAAACACGGAGCUUUGGGCAGUGGGGGCCCGGGAAAGAAACUUUUAAAGCGGCAGUGUCCUUUUAAAAGGAAAACAAAAAUCUCUUUCGUGUCCACCCUCCUCCUCCACCUUUCGCUUCUUGUCAGUUUCGGCCGCUGCUGCGGAGCCGGAGUGUGUGUGUGUUCCUAGAGCUUGGGGAGGGGGGCGCGGAUGGCGGAGCGACGUGGGGAGCCGGGGUAUGGAGAGGGAGCGCCGCUGGAGCCUGGGGGCGACCCGGGCACCUCCUCCGGAGCGUGGCGAAGGGUGUCGGGCUGGGGGAGAGGCCCGAGGCAGCGAGUGGGGUGCAGGCGCGCGAGGUGCUCGCCAAGUUGUGCGCUGCGCAAGUUUAGAGCCAGGGCUGCAAGCCUCGCGCCACGGCUGGCGGGGGGCGUGUGCGCCCGGGCGCCCCACGAGUCUGGGAGGCAGCAGCCACCCAAGCAGACGGUCACCAAUAGAAAGCUCCUUGGGCACCCAAACUUAGUUCUGCCCGGGGAAUGCUCCUCUCUCCCCCCUUGGAGGUUCCCGGCGAGUCUGGGAGAAUCUGGGGAUGGGUCAGGGCGAGUCGAAUGAUGGUUGGACAGUUGGAGUGAUUUUCCCUCCCUGGGCGAUUUGUACACUUCAUUCUGGUGUGUGUGUGUGUAUGUGUGUGUGUUGCAGGAGGGAGGGGAUCCGUGGCUUCUGGCGUUUUCCUAGGUAAAGUAAGCUGUCGGGAGAGCUUACUCCCUUAAAGGUGUGGGAACCUGCUGUGGGUUUUGUUCCCCACGCCGGGGGUGGGGGAUUAUUUGAAUGCGCCUGGAGUUUGCAAAGAAGAAGCGGAAGCUACCGCUUUAAUUACUGUUGUAAAUAAUGUAUAAAUCACGCCGGGCACUCGGAAGGAGGACGCUGGCUCGCGGGAGCCGGAGAGCGGGCGCUCUUCACCCAGGCCGCACACCGGCCCGCGCGACCCUCCUCUGGGCACGGGCGUUCGGCGGCGGGCGGGGGGGAGGCUGGGGAGGCCGGGCCGGGAGCCGCUCCCCAUCUCCCCGCGGGCAUAGUUGGAGGUAGGAAUAUGGCUGAUCCUGUGCUGGCUGUUUUACAGUACCCCCCCUCUCCCCACCUUGGCCACACCCCCAGUCCGGGCGCUUUCCCAUUCACGGAAUUCGAGUACAGUAAAAGCCAUCAGGAUGACACACGCGAAAAACAUUUAAUUAAAGGCGAUUUCUGAAGAGUGACCACAGCGAACCGCGCUUGGCGUGGGAGGGGGGCAGCACGGGCCGGGACGCCACGCAGAGGGGAGAGGGCUGGGGGCCAGACCUGCCGCCGGCUGGGUGAGUUCGCGUGUGGAGAGCUUUGGACUGCAAAGAGUAUAUUUAGACCCUGAGACGGUGGAUUUGGAAUGCGAGAGGGUUAUGUAACAGGGUUAAUCAGAAACACUGGAGAAAAUCCCCUUCAUGUGUUUCUGUGGCUUUUUUGUUUUUAUUAAAGAAAGGGCAGCGUAGUAUAUGGGAAGCCACACUGAUUUCUGGUUUGUGCUGAUACCCCUUCUUUCUUAGCCCCUCCCCUUCCGUGUGUUAUUAGAGCCUUCAGGUGUCAUUCUUGCCAGAAGGUGUUCUUGCGAGAGAUAGGGGUGGCAGGCUGCAGAACCGACUGGCAAAUCCUUAACUUGCUGUUCCUGCAAAUUAUAUAACGCCGGGGCAUUCAGUCCCACCAGCCCCAUAAGCUCCGUGAGAAGGGGGGAGGGACAAAUAGCCAGGCGCAUCUCGCACAGCUGACCUCCUGACCCAUUUCCCCUGGCCCCCUGGAGCACCAUCCCCACUCAUUCUUGGAGCAAACCCCUGUCCCUUGCUCUUAGGAGAUUGAAUGGGAGGGGGAGGUAGGGCCCAAACACUCAACUCACAUCCUGCACGCAGGCACGGGUUAUGUAACAGUCUGAAUGGAAAAAGGAAGGUCAGAGAUGGAAGCAUCCUUUAGCUAACACAGCAGUAGAAUAGCUUCCAGAAAUUAGGUGUCUUUGCAGACUUCGACCUCAGAUGUAGCGUCUGCUCUCAGGGGUACCAGUCUUUGUGUGUGUGUGUGUGUGUGUGUGUGUGUGUGUGUGUGGUGUGCGAGAGAGAGAUCCAGCAAGGGAGAGAAGAGAGAAUGUGUAAGUAUGCCUGAUAGUUGAGAGUGAUUUGAAAAUAGGAAAUGUUUGGGUUUUCAGAUGAUGUAAUGGAGUUGGCAGAAUAUGCAAGUCGGCUUCCAGAGUGUAAGCAGUAAGAAAAUUGGAGCUGGCAUCCAGUAUUAAUGUUGCAUAAAUUACAAUAUCGUAAAGAAAUUAACCUACACACGAGGUGAUUACGCCUCUUAAAUACUUAAAACAUAAAGGCUUAUGACUGGGAAGGAAAAGCAAGCAUCACCAACUUAUAAUUAGCAUUUUCCACCUCAAAGAGGGUUGAAUGGAGUUCUUGGCAUUGGGCGAAAAGGAAAGUGUCGUGAUUUGGAAUACUCCUUUCAGAGGGUCCCAGGUUAGCCUCCCAUUAGCCAGCAUUUGAAAUUCACCAAGAUUGUGGUCUGAAUUCUCAUGACAUUGAGGUGACCUCAUAAGACAUUGCCUAGAUAGCUUUGAGGAUAUUGUUGGAUUCCUCCUUCCCUCCUGAGAGUCCAGGUAUGAAGGGACUGUAUACCUUUAAUGCCCAGAGCACCCGAAAUCAGAUGGGUGACUUGGUGAUCUGAGAGAUGGCUUUCCCCAUGCCCACAGCUGCAGGGAACCGUAGCAGUGGUCAGGAAACCCUUUGGCUUGGUCUUAUUAAUGAUGGUUGAUGUCUUUUGGUCCCAUCAUUCUGGAACAAUGAAAGGGGUGUGAGAGAAAGACAGGAAAAAGGAAGGAAAUACAUGAAGUAAAAAUGAAGUGGAAAAAACCAAAAACCCACAACGAAUCUUUAAUUUAACAAGGUUUUCUGGGACUUGAGGGAGCCAUGAGUGUUGUGACAUAACUGUUGUUAAAAACCCUUUUCCAGGUCUUGUUUUGCUUUGCAUGCCAGAAGCUCACGUACUUUACUGCUCUAAAUUUACUGUCUCAGGGGUGGGCACCAGCCGGUGGGAUAGCAGUGCUGGUGUGGAAGGGGGAAGGCUUUUAGGCAGGCCAACCUAAGGGGAAAAAUCGAAACCUAGAGGUGGGAUUAACUCUGAAAAGCUCAGCUGGGCUGGGAAGGGAGCCUGCACAAGCUCAGUUUAGAUUGACUUAGAAGCAGUUAAUGGGGCCUGCAGUAUAUUUCUAGCCCUGGGGACGUCUGGACCCUUACAACUCCUUGACUUUGAAAGUGUGCUCCCUCCUUUCUGCCCUUCGGUCUCCCCUGACUGCCUUUCUAGUAGGUUCUCUACCUGGCAGUGUAGUGCCCUUUCUAGAAAUGAAUUCUCAGAUGCACGUUUCUAGUGUGGACAUAGCUCUCUGUAGUUUGAAAAUGCUACUGGCUGGGGGAAAUCUUUUGCCAGAGAGAUGAAAUGAUGAUUUUUUUAAACCCAAGGACUUUAAUUUUCUGGUAAAUUGCUCAUAAAAACAUUUAUAAUUAUACCCUUUAAAAAUGUAAUAGAAUAAAUUUAGAAAAUGCAUUACAUGAUAGAUAUGAUAAACUUUUCUGUUGCUUUUCCUUCUUUCGUAAAAGGAAUUGAAUUAUUAAUCUAGAAUUCAAGCCCUGAGUGACUAAAACAUUUAGAGCAGACCUUUUUUUAUGUUCGUCACCUGCUAGAAUUUUCCAAAAGCAGUGUGAGGAGUCCUGGAUUUUUAGACAGUGCCUCUGUCUCUGCAGCUGAAGCAGCUGGGAGCCCAGCUGAAGCCUGGUCACCUGAGACCUUGCUGCUUGUGUGUUUCGGGCUGCACGGGUGGGUGCAGUCCCCGCUGUGGCUCCCCAAGGCCAGUGGGCUGUCCAUUGUCACUUCUGAGUCAAAGUGUGUUUUCAUGACUCUGCCACUUCUGCAUUUAGGAGCUUGAGGAGUGAAGUGGGAUGACAGGCUGAACUGCGCCUUACUGAAAAUCGUGUUCGGAUGGGAGAGACUCUGAAAGCAUAGGCCACAUUUUAUGGGGGAUCCUGCGUUCCCCCCUCAUCCUCUUGGUCCACUUGGCAAGUUGUGCUCUUUUUUGGUUUCUGUGUGGACUUCUGUGUCUGAGGAAACAGAAUCUAUCACUCUACUCUAGGGGUCUAGUGAAAAAGUUGUAUUGUGGCUUGCCUUGUGUAGAGCAAUACACACACACAUGCAUAUGGGAGAUAAAUAUAUAUAAAAUAUAUGGAAGAUAUGAAAUGUUUAUAUAUAUAUGGAAUACAUACAGAGAUAUGGAAUAUGAAUAUAUAUGUAUAUAUAUAUCUUGCAAUAUGAUGUCCCCUACUGGUUGCCCUCUGUUUUUCCAUGAGAUGUUGUGCAGGGACUUUGAAGCUUUUAUCAGCUCCCUGGAGGAGACCCCUGGACUAUUCCUCCCAGAUUAGCAAAAAAUUCUUCCCAGAUUAGCAGUAAAUUCUUCCAAAGCAAGGAAGGUUCCUAAUCAUUACAGUGAUCAGAAACCUAGAAUGGAAGACACCCUUCUGCAUAGGAGGAUUGUCUUCCUGACUCAGAAUUUGUGUCUUCUCUCUUUUCCCUUCCUCUCUUUCAUCUUUUCCAUGGUUUUUUGAAAAUCUAAUUAAUGAAGGUGUUGGUUUGGAACCGAAUUGUUCAAAUUUUUUUUAACUCAUCCUUUUAGGCUGUUUGUUAAAAAAUAAAACUAUCAUUUUUGAAUUAAUGCUUCAAAAGAAAAAGCCAUCUCCUGAUCAUCAACACUUAAGUGUUGAUUAACAUGCUGUAAACCAUGAUUUUUCUUCAAGAAUACCAGUGCGUUACUGAUGAAUUGAUUUUUCUGAUUAGUGUAGAUUAACUCAAAAUAUUUUUUGAUCUUUUCCUUAUUAAAUAUGCUUUUUAAAUGUGCUGAUCCCCUUUUCUACCCUCAGAAGUGCACUGAGAAUAUAAUCGAUCUUUCCUUAGGGUUUGAGCGUCUUACAGGGCUCUAGUGUCGCUGCCUUGAGGAAUUCCGAUUGUAAGUUACAGACCAUGAAUGGAGAAAGUGUCAGAGGCCAGACUAAAUCUGUCUUGAUCUCAGUUUGGAAACUGUAUUCUCUUUUCUUUUAUGCUAAAUCCGUAGCAGAAGCAUGUUUUCUUCCUUUCCUCCCUUGUUUUCUAAGUUACAAGUAGCAGUUCAGAAAACUCAGUAGGUUCUAUUUAAUUGAGGCUUUUAUUUCAUAGAAAAUUUUCACCCAGCAUCUACAGUUCUCUUAUUCUUUCUCUUGUAGAAGAUGCAAAAUUGUUUUUAGAUACUGAGGAAGGCUGUGAUGUUCACAUAAGUCAUGUAUUUACUUUCUUACUGUAACACGAUAUAAUCUCCCCCCUCUCUAGUGGUAGGUAUGGUAGAUAGUCUUGCCAGGUUUACGUCUUCUUCAUGUAUGUUGAAGUCUUUCUUGGUGUGAGGCUCCUAAUCCUGAAAAUGAGGAAGCUCUGGGGUUAGAACAAAGAGCUGCCAAAAUAUCAACAUGGCGCAUUUGGAUUUGGGGCAGCAGCUCAGUGUCUAAGCUCAGCCUUGUGCAUGGACAGCUUCCCUGGGACCACCGAGAUAGGGCAGAGGGUCCCGCCCUUCCAGCUGCCUCCCGGAUUUGACGCUCAUCUCUGAUUAUCUUGUCAGCACUCAGAGGGCGUUGUGUUGGCAGUUUGGUUUGGGGGUUCUGACAACCUGUUAUUAUUAUCAUUAUUAUUUUGGGGUAGACAUCAAGGAGAUUGCCCAAAUAAAUCUUUAGAAAAGGGAAAUAUAAGAAGAAUGGGAAUGGCAUAGGGAUAAAUGUGGCAGAGUUCAUGGUGUAGGCUGGCUGGCCCUUUGCUCCAGCUCCUACAUGCUCGUGCUAAGAGAUACCACAAGUACCCAUCCCCUUGUGUUGGGAGAAGGAGUCCUUUUUUUUCCUUAGAAAUUUUGAUGGCUUUAUGUGACCCGUUACUGCAUAUUGCCUUACCACAUUACACACGGUGGCUCAUUAAUGAUGGUACGGUGCCGUGGUUUCCUCGUGAUUCUCUGGCCCCAGAACUGGGGCCCUCUUGGGAGGCCUUUGCAGGGCCCACUGAUGCUGGGUACAGGUUCUGCCGGCUGUGAAGCAUGGGGGACUCCAGGCUGCCCCCGAGUGAGGUUGGUUCUAUACUAGGGGUGUUUCCCUGGAAUUCCACCAGAGUUUGGGAACAGUGAAAAAACAUUACAGUACAGAGAAUGUGUAACCCCCCAGCCUUGAAGCAUCCUCAUAUUAUUGGGUGUUGACAUUUUGAUUGUGAACUCUAUCUUUAAAGUUUUCUGAAAUAAUUAGGAAGUUUCUGCAUCAUACCCACCUUGUAACAGAUGAAGCCUUCCAGGGUACAGGGAAGGUCCCCACUUAGUAUGGGGUCCUCAAGUCAACUAAAGAAGCAGUGCCCUGUUAAAAAUACCUAGCUUACUUUGGGGGAGGAUUGGGCAGAAUACUGAUGAAGUGUAUGAAAUAUGAGUAGCGAAGUUGCUGUACGUAAGUGGUAGGCGUGUGCGCCAGAAGUGAGGAGAAAUAAAAUUGUAUAUAGAUGAGACUCUGAAACUUGAUGGGAUUGAGCACGUGAGAGGAAUGGGAACGUUUGAGUCUGCUUAAGGGGUGGGGGAGAGAGACAGGCUUAAAAUCAUUGUGUCAAACCAGACAUGGAACUAAAAAUAAUAGAAUAGAAAAUCACUUGACUUACUUUAUAAGCAAAGAAUAAUACCAAUAAUAAACAGGCAGGUUGCAAAGAAUAGAGAUGAAAUUUCCCAAAAAGGGGAAAGAAUGAGAGAGCACUGCUAGAAUCUAUAAUAAAAUAUGGUAAUCACUGUCUAAAGAAUUCUAGACUACUAACCACUGUGUUGUUAGGUGGGGAAUUAGUUAUAGCCAAACAAGAGGCAUAAGUAUGAAUUUUAGGGAUUGUGGGAGAAAUCCUUUUGAUGUCCCUAACAUAAAUGUCUAUAUCGAGAUCCCAAGCUGUGCCCAACGUAAUGUUCCCUGUCUUGUCCUGAUUAAUUGACUGCCUAUAGGAUGCUUUUCUCCGGAAGGUGACUUUCCAAUCUGUAGACACAGACAUUUCUCUCUGACGUGGAGGGAGAACCCCAAGCUCAAGUGUAUCUCACUGGGCAAGGUACUUGGGAGAGAGAUAAGGAAGGUGCCGAGUGGGAACAGAGCAAUGUGUAGAGGUGUUAAGAAUGUCUGUUGGGGCUGCCAACCCGAGGCUGGAUGAAGGCAGGGACUCUCUAGAGGGAAAGAGAGAUGUUUGUGCAAAAGAAAAUGAAAUUAGCAUUGACUGUGAAAUGGCUGGGAAUGUGACUUUCUAAUUUUAAAUUAUCUUUAACAAGGGCAGUCAAAAGAGGAACCUUGACACUGAGAAGUUUUGACGAACUUGUCGAGAAUGCCAAUUGACAAAGGCAGUUCAUUUUAAAGAAGUCUGGAGAAAUGGACAAAGAGAGAGAGAAAGCAACCACAUGUGAUUCUGCCCUUCUGGAAGCUAGAAGGCUUAUGUCAUCCCGUGUAACGAACGCCAGUCAUGGGGAGGAGUAACUGUGGAAAUUAAUGGAUUUUCACCAUCCAAUCACAGAGGAAAUGUGUAUAUUUAGCUAGCCUCAAACCUCUCACAUAAAAUGCAUUGCUUUUCAUUUUCACUUUCCAGUUAUAAAACCAGUGGAUGAUGAAAGGCCACGUGACAUACAGCGUGUGUCCUCCCAGGAACAUUCGUGUGACAGGGUCAUUACAUCUGAAGAGACAGACAGCUAGGAGGGUGGGUUGCCCGUAACUCUCAAUUGUCCAGGUAAUGAAGCAUUGGGGAAGCAGAGGCAGAUGAAAUAAUUUGAUAAUCCAGAAUGACCCCUCUCUUAGUGAUCUGAUUAGCUGACUGAUGAUGACAGGUGUGAAAUUGCUAGAGCUCUAUGUCACCACCACUGCCCAGCGGAUAAACAUGUGUGCUGCAAGCUGGAAACCGGCAGCUUCUGUGGACCAGGCUGUUUACCCCAAAGGCAUCGGGUCUCACGAUAUGAGAGAUGGCAGCCUGAGGUUAGUGAGGUUCUGAGACCUUCUGGAAGCACAGGGAGCCUCCAAGAAUCCGGAGAAGAACUGACCUGUACCCAAAGGGCUCUCGAAUGUUCUGAGGCCUGCCUUUCAUAAACCUGUGCUUGAGAGUGUGAGUCAAAUAUGUGUCGCCUACUCCCGAUGCUGCCACUGGUCCUAUUUAGGAGUAGGAUAUGUUAGAGCUGGAAGGGACGCUAUGCACCACAUUCUCUAGCCUGGUACCCGUUUGAGCUGAUGCUCAUAGAAACCUAGUGAGAUAUGGAAAUCAUAUUCCCAGGAAGGGUGACAACCAGACCCCAGGUCUCCUACUUUCUCAUUAAGUGUUCUUUCUACUUGUGUGCUUGGGCAGGAUCCUCAGAAAUUCCAAAAGCAUACAGGAUCAAGUUCACGCUUUCAGGAAACGCCCCUGAGGCCGUGAAGAUGAGAACACGAGUUAAUCCAGUGCCAGGGCAUACAUAUGUAUGAAAGCAAGUGUGCCAUUUUGGCUAUUUGUCAAAAGUAGAACAUUGUCUGUGCUCGUUACUGUUUUUUUAAUCCCAGUAGACAUUUUUAUUAUUAAUUAGAAAGUAGCUAGUGAGGUAUAGCCAUGUCAGUAAGUCAUUGUAAAGCACAGUAAAAGUACCUCCUAUUUGGAUUUAGUAGGAAUCAAAUAGUCUCCAUGCAGCUGGACAUAGCCAAGGGCCCCAAGAGCGUGUGUUUCUCCCCAGCAAAGCUAUGCCUUCAUUGGGCAGACCGGAGAUAGAGUCUGCCACUAAAAACCUGGUGACAGUAGAAAAGUAUUUCUUUACAGAGGACACGUCAUGAUCUCCUGCCUGGUGAAAAGUUCCAGCAUUUAUUGCAGCUUGCAGAGGAUCACAUCAUUUUUGUACCAAACUGUAGUGUGUGUGUGUAUGUGAAAUAGAAUUCUACCAAUAAGUUAACUUGGAUCCACAUAUUCUAAAAUGAUGUAAUAAUAAAGUGGUCAUGUGUGGAUGCUAGGUUUCUGUUUGUUUCUUUUUCUUUGUGUUUUCUGGAUUUUCUGAGCUGCCUGCAUUAUGUAUGUAAUUUUAUAAUUAGAAAAAAAUAAAUUGCUUUUCAAAAGAAUUGAUGGUGUGUUGUUACAUUGGGGUUGCUUCAAAGGAACUAUUUCUUAAUUUAAUGUGUCCCAUAGACUUUUCUACAUGUUUCAAGAUGGACAGUGUUCAGAUUGACACUGUCUGAACAAGAUGGACAGCCCAGAAAGACCUGUAACAUUGGGAUACUCACUCUUGUCCAGCAAACAAGGGUCAUUCAGCUUGAAUGGUAAAAACAAGUCCUGCUUGUGAAUUCAUGACCCUUUACAGAGAUAGCUUUGAAACACUUAUACUGUGAUCUACAAUGAGAAAAAAAAACUAUGUUAUGAACCAAUACAUGUAUACACAUACAUGCACAGAAAAAAAUAAAAUUUUCACAUAAUACUUUCAUAUAAAACAUUUACCUUUUGCCUGUGCUACACGGUCAUUUUUGCUCUAAGAUUUAAAAUAUGGGCCAAGACCCACCACACUUAGGAACUGUCCCUCCCAUAUUUGGAAACUGCAGGUGCAGCCCUCCCAGGCUCAGGGCUUCGAAGUGGGAAGGACCAGGGAAUCGAGUUUCCACAGAGCUCCAGGUGUCACUCAUUACGGUUUCAAGGAGGAGGCAAGGGAGGACCGAAAAACGUACAUCCUUAUAAUUAUUCAGUAUUGCACAUGCUUAUUAUGAUCCUGUUACUUUAGGUGUGCAUGUGCCCUAGACUGUGGAGAUCCUUCCCCUGUGUGUUUAGUGUGGAUGUCACUGUGUUCGAGCCCAAGGAGGUCUUUUACUUGUCCAGUGUGUAGGAAGCAUUUUCUCUGUGCCCGGUACUGUUCUGGCCUUUGAGGGGUGAAGGAGCAAACAGGAGCAGUCUGGUUCCUAGCCUCCUGGCCCGGUGGUGUUUCUCAGAGUAACCUGUGUCCGGUCACCUCCAACCCAACACUGUUGAAGUAGUGUUGGGUUGUAGUGUAGUUUGUAAGCAUGUGGAGCCUCUGCAUGUGCCUGCAUCGUUCUCUCCCUCCUGUCCCUCCCUGUCCAGUUCCUACUGUGAGUUGCCCUCUCACUUUGCUUGUUGGAAAUCCUCCCACUCAUCCAGCCCUGGAUGAGAUCUUCUCUCCCUCUAGAUGUCCCAAGACUUCCGGCUUUGGCAGUUGUCGGUCACAUGUACCUGCCUCAACACCAAGGAACUCUCUUCUUCUGCCUCUUGCUUCCGUGCUGCCUUACAGUGCCAUUUGCUGGGUACGAGCCUGGCCUCUGCUGGGCAAACACCACAGCUCACGUUUUCACCCUGUGCAGUGCCUUGAAUAAGGCAGGCACUCACGUGCUCUGCAGGUUACCUAUCCCACACUGUCCUGUGGAGCUCGGCCCUGUGUGGCGCUUUGGGCGCAUUUCCAAUGGCUUACACCUGCGCCUGCAUCUUCAUUUCCCACCCGGCCACUCUUGACUGCUUCUGCCUCAUGGAUUCCCAUUUCUGCCUCUCAUAAGCUCAGGCUUGCUCCAUUCUUGAACCACGCAUAUUGGGACAUGCUGGGAGACAGAGGACGUUCUGCUGGCUGCGACAAACUGCUGGGAAUGCUGUGUGACCUUAGGUAAGUUCAUGGAUCCCUUGGUUUCUGUCCUCACCUGCGAACUGGGCAUGGUGGAAAUGCAGCCUCCUGCCCUGAUGCCUGGGAAGCGCCUUGCACACAGCGCAUGUGGCUGCAGCAGUGGUGGUAACCACGAGGCACACACAGAGCAGCCACCUCCCCAUCUCUCCCUUGAGUCUUCAUUCUUCUUUGCUGGGAGUGUCCUCUCUGACUGUGAUUGGCUGCUCUGUGAAACAAAUGAACGUCUCUGGGCAUCCAUGGAGGUUCUGACGCUGUUCCUUUUGCUGCCAGUUCCAGUCCUGGGAUGGGAUCCAGCCUCAUCUCAGUUCCGUCACUGCGGGCUGGGUCCUGCCAAGCUAGGACAGAUCCCUAAAGUUCAGCCCCACCCACCAUGUGUUGGGCCUUUCUGAGGUUACCUCUCGUAUCUUCAGUGAGCAGGAGGUGGGCUUGUGCCUAGCUGCUCCCUGCCUACCAUCUCCUCCGUUCCUGGAGCCUGGCUGGCUGGCCCCCUCCCCAGCGUGGGGGCUGGGGUAGCUCCUUCCUUCCCACCAUGCUCGGUGCUCUUUGGUGCCUCAUUUCACAGCAUCUCAUCAUUCCUUGCCCUCCCUUCUCCUUUACUCGCUUUCUCUUUCCUGCCAAAAAAUCCCAUUGGAGAAGCCUGUCUAUGAGGUUUCCAUUCAACUUGUUCUACAUUAAUGCUCCACUAUGGUGGCCCACUGCUGAGUCUUUCACUUGUAAUGUAAUCUAAUAAUUUACAUGCACUUUGCAAGCAGUGCUCUCCGAGACUCACAACCUGUUUGAAAUUGCUGUGCUGUUACAGUAUUUGAGCUGAUGAGAGAGCAGCGUGAGAAAGAGUGGUUUAUUGGUACCACAAUGGUAUUUCGUAGACGCUGGAAAAUAAUGUUAGCGCGAGGUGAGGGAGUGCUGAUGGAUUAUAAUAUCCUUUCUUCGAGGAUCAAUUAAACCUGCUAAGGGUCUUUUAUUGAUUUUGCUUGUAAUUGCACUACGAUAGGUCAAAGUGGAGAAGAAAUAGAGGCAUAGUAAGCAAGAGGAAUUGAACCAAGAGUGGAAUCUUGUCUUUGUGGGAUGCUGCAAACAUAUUUUAGUUUUGAUAUAUGGCAUGACUUUUACAGAAUUAAUUGGUAGUGUGAUUAGGUGGUUUUAUUUCCUCACUCAAACAUGUUGGAAGUUAAUUCUGAUAUGCAUGGGUAAUGAAAAUAGAGUGAUGUUGUAAUAAUAGUGCCAUUGAAGAGCGAAUUAUACCAUUAAGCAUCUAUUUCGCUUAAUUUGUAUUGUGAUAGUGUGGGUCACACGCACUCACACACACUUAUACAGAUUUUGAGUAGCUGAUCUUCAAGAGAUAGACUGUAGCUAAGAGUAGAAGCCCCAGUUUGGUAAUACUGAACAAUCAGGAAAUGACAAUGCAGUGAAUAUAUAUAUAUAUAUAUAUAUAUAUUUAUGGCACAUGCACACUUAUAUACAUGGAUAUAUAUGUGUCACACAGGCAGAUUGAGAAGUAGCUGCAUGAUCACACAAUGUUGGCUUGGCUCAUGUGGCCUUGCAGCAAGAUGAGUCUCCUGCUUGGGGACAGAUGAUCCAUGGUGGAGGGCCAGGCAGUAGUGACAUCUCUGGCAUGGUUAGAAACCAGACUUUCUCACCAACCUCAUUACUGAGCCUGGAAACCUCCAUUUGUGGAGAUUCUCAAGUUGGAGAAGACACACAGAGGGUCCGGGAAAUGUUGGUCAUUCAUCUUGUAAGGAAAGAUGUUAGUGGAACAACUUCUCCUGCAGUAGACAGAGAUAUAUUCUUACUCUUUAAGCAGUGCCCAACCCAGGAGGAUGCUGGUGUUGAGAACUUUCCUGGUCUGUGUGUAUCCUGGAUGGCUGCCUCCAGCCCCUCCUUCAUGCUCUGUUAUGGCGGCAUCUAAAGUCUAAACUGGACUUGUUCUGGUGGCCCUUUGUCCUCUCCUGCCCUUCCCCCUGCACUUUGCUUCCAUGACAUUGCAAUCCCCAUCGUCUGGCCAUCUGGAACCCACAAAGAUCUUGGACAGAGUAUUGAGAUUUGUGUGUGUGUGUGUGUGUGUGUGUGUGUGUGUGUGUGUGUAGGUUAGAACACAUUUAAUUUUUAUGUACAGUACUUGCUCUGAUGGCCCCAAUAUUGAAAGCAGAUUUGCUUUAUAAAUAACUGUGUGCAUCCUGUAUUUGAAAUCAGCGCUGUUGAUUUUAAACUCCAUGAGGAUUUAAGGGGAGGGAAGGCAGCAUCAUUGCCUGGCAUCUGGAUUAAGAAUGUAUUUAGUGGGGAAAUUUAUUGUAAUCCUCAAUGAAAAAAUAUCAAUAUCAUAUUGUGCCUAAUAAAAUGUUAUAAUGAAAAUUACCACAGCGUUUGACAACAUCGCCUUAUUAAUUGGUCUUUUCUGUUAUGAUUUUCUUAGUAGCAAACACACUCUGCUUUUCUCUCUCAUUCGUUACAGUCCUUAUUGAAUUUGUGUUUUGCUGCUUCAGCUCUGCUUGUCUUCGCCUUGGUCUCCAUUCCUUGAGGGCAGGGUUGUGGGUUAUCGCCCCUGUGCCUUCCGAGCUCCCUGCCUCCUGCUUGAGCGGUCAGCGAAUGCCCUCAGGAUGCUUGUGACGCUGCUGUUCAGAAUCAAUAUGUGAAAGAUGAGCCAGUGGAGAGAAAACCGGAACGAGACAAGAAGAAUCUAAUAUUCUUCGAAAGCCCCAGCUGUUUAAAGCGGGUAUAAUACAUCAUCUGCUUGGGACAAUUUGUCACGUGUUUCUUAAGCACUUACUGUGUGCUGGGCCCUGUGUUGGUCAGUGGAGGGACACAGCUGAAUUAAGGGAACUGACAGGCAGCAGCGGUACAUUAAUUUGAAAAGUGCAGGGCUGUAACGGAUACUAAGAAAAAAAUAUAUGCAUGGGGGUGGGGUGGAGGAGAAACAAUUCAAGGGGAAGCAUGAGGUAUCCUGGUUACCCAGGCUUUGAAAAACUGGGGAGAUCAUCUAGGCAACGGCGGGUGCAGCCAUUUGCAGGCUGAGCGUUGAUGAUGCCUUCUGGUUUGCUCAGUUUGGGCCUCCGCAAGAACUGUGAGUUGAGGCUGGGCAGAGCAGGUGAGUCCCCAGCUGAGCAUUUUGGACCUUUUCUCACAGCAAAAUUUUGUGCAAGUGAAAAACACGUGAUUUCUUUUUGUGGUAAGCUACUAAUGUCUGAGUGCAUGGGGUCAGGCGUGGAGCAUUGUCUGUGCAGACGAGAAGCCAGGUUAGGGGACCAUGGAGAUAAUUCUGGAGCAAGAUUGCAGUAAUAAAAAUUGGAGUGGAGGGUAAGAGGUGGUUUCUGAGGGAGAACUUCCGAAGAGUGGGAUCCGAAGUAUAUGCGGGCGGAAGUGAUUGUAGUCAGCCCCAGAGUAAGGUACCAGCUAAGGAGCCCAGACAGUUUGGUGGCGGACGUAUUGGAGGGGAGAAGGUGUGGGUUCAGUUUGGGGUGUGCUGAUCUGGAGGUGCUUUUGGAAGUGUGAGUUUGGCAGGAAGCUGUGACUCUAUUACUUGUGGAAUGACGCAAGGGAAUAACAUUUAGCAAGGGCUUGCGCUCAGGAGGGCUGGUUCAGAGACAGUCCAAGCUCUGAGCAGCACUUCUGAUGGGGAAUUUGGGAGACUGAAGCUUUAACACAUGAGACCAUCUUCAUGGAUUUCGAAGUGAUAUCAGUAGAAAAUAAAUCUAAGAUCCAAUUACAUUUGGCUCUGAAAUUGAAUGGGAUAAAGGGAGCAGGAGAGACAAAGUGUCUUUGAAAAACAAAAGGCAGGAUUGUGAGCUGGGCAUAGUGGUGCAUACCUGUGAGAAUCCUAGUACUCUGGGAGGCUGAGGCAGGAGGAUUGCAAGUUUGAGCCCACCCUGUGUAAUUUAGCUACUUGAUAAGAUGUUAUCUUGAAAAUGCAAUUAAAAACAUUAAAAAGUACCAAGGCGCCGGAUUCAAUCCCAAUAUUGCACAAACAAACAAGAGUAGACUGGGACCUGGACAUCCUACAGGGACUUUGUAGAGCCCAGAGCUGGGUUCCUGCACACUGCUGCCCCAGGUGGGACUGGAGCUCAGUGUGUUUUGGAAGUGAUCCCUUCCCUACGUUCCGUGGCUGAGUGGAGAGCUGCUGCUGCCUUUUCUUCCUUUUAAUUUCUUCACAGGCUGGCAUUGAUUUAUCCCAUCUCUGAGGGGACUCUCCCUCCCGCUUGGCAGAACCUCCAGGCUGGAGAUGGGAUGAAUAGUGGCUUUGGAGAGGUCUGUGCACCGCUCUGGGAGGAAGGUUUUGUGGGGGCAAAGUUGAAAGAGAGGCCUGAGAAGGGCAGAAGACCUUCAAAGGACGGAUCUGGCCAUGGGAAACCGACUGCAGGAUUUUUUUUAAGUUGACUAGGAGAAGAAAAAGCAGGGGCGUUGGAGGUGACUGUGGUGUGGUCACCGAGGCACUGAUGUGGUGUGUCCCUGGUGCUGUGCUUCUCCCGCGCUUUCACCUCCGCAGCACCCUCGGGAAGUCUUGGCAGGAAGUUGGUAAUGUGCAGGCUGGGGAGGGACAGGGAAGUAUGCGGUGUCCUUAGGGGGACCUGAUCUUAUUUUUCACUCCAGUGGCCCGGAGGAGGAGGGGCCUGCCUGGUCCUCCUGAGCUCUCAAUUGUUUUCCCUGAGCUCUCCCUAAAUGUCCUUCCUGUCAAUAUUCCACUAAUGUGUUCUAUGUGUUAUUCUUUUAUCUCUGUGCUGGGAAAUUAGAAGCCUUCGCCCACACUCUGGUAAGCAGAUUAAAGGGAAAGCUUGUUUUUAUGAUGUGGGGGAAACCGGGCAUACAGGAGGGCGACGUUCUGUGUGUGUGUGUCGGCUCUGACAGCAGGGCAGGGGGGUUGCGAUGCCAGGGUCUUCUAAUACCUGAGCCCUGAGCCCCGGCUGGAGCUUUCUUCAAAGAGGUUUAUAUUUGAUCCGUUGGCACUUUUGCGGGAAGGGAGGUCUGGAGUGGGUGAUUCUGGGAUGCUUCUUUUCUUGCUGUUGUUUUCUUCUCUGUCUUUUGAACUUUGCAGAAAGCCCUUCCAGUUGGACACUCAGACCCUGCUCAGGACGUUGGUGGCCAAACAGUCCCCUUUUGUUAAGCGAGUGUCCUACUUUUGUCUCCAUUGAAAGGUGCCCGUCGGGACAGCAGAACCAUUCUUCGGGCUGUUUAUAGCCAGGUCCUGAAGAAACCUAAACAGAAAUCAUUCUAGACCUGGACCAAGCACCUCCUCUGCCUUGCUAGGCAAAGCUGAACCCACACAAGAUGAAAUCUAACCAGCGGGUUACCUGAGAACCACCUUGGGGAGCGCUCCAGCUUGACUCUGCUCCCUUGGCCACCGUCCAAAGAGCCAGAGGAGGCCAGCCAGAGCCUUCCCGUGCUGAGAUGCUGGGAGGGAGCUACAGCCCUUGGUGGGGCAGGUUAGCUCAGGUUAUGCUUUAAAAGAGCCCUGUGUUGGCCAACGAUCUAUAGGGGGAUGUAAGUUGGACAAGUCAGCCAUAGAGUAGUGAAAUUUAAGGAACAUUUUCCCUCUUUGACUCAAGCUUUCGCUAAGGUUAUAUAUAUUUCAAAGCAUAUAACACACACAUUCUUUUAAGAAAAAGAUGUUCAUAGCUUUAGCCCACCUUGGCAUAGUUCCAUCAUUCCUGUUUCUGCCAUUUUCCUUCUACAGAAUAGAUAAACUGAGAUGUCAGAUAAAAUUCAGGCGUGAGUACAAAUUGAUAACACAGAAGACUGACAUUCUGUGGUAUGGGAAUAACUUCUGUGAUUUGAAGCAGAAUCUUUGUCUCCUACCUCAGAUCAUCUGGUUCAGGGCUUCCAAUCAAGACUCCAUGCCCACAAGUACUGCCUUUGGUUUUUGGAAUUUUUCUUUCCACUUUAGGUACCAGCUGAGGCAUCCUUUGGAGUACUUUGGGUGGCAUAGGGAAAGCGCGUUGGGUUUUGUCAAAGGAGGAUCAACCGACUAGAAAAGUUCUCAUGCCUGUUUGGUUUGGAGCCUUCCUGCAUGUGAGGUCACUGCUGUGUCUGGCUUCUGAGCGCCCUUCUUCCUUUGCUGGCUGCACACUCUCCCUGUGUGUUAGAGGAAGAGACACCUGCCUUUGGGGGAACCCCCGCAGGAGGGGAGCAUCUGUCCAGCUGGCCCCUAUGUAGACAGAUGACUGAGGAGGGAAGCAGUUUGGAGCGACGCAUCAUUUUUGAGGCUGAAGUACAUUUUAGGAAGUUAGGGACUUGUGCAAGUUGAGCUAAAUAUGCAGUUCUAUUUUAAUUUUCACUUGAUGCCAAGGCGAAAGCGUUGGGAGCUAGACUGUAAAUGUAUAAGUAAGUCACUGCAACAAGAGCCCUUUGCAAGAUGCAGAUCUAGGGAGGCCGAGUACUUCCUCACAUCCUUCAGCACUGCCAGUAGCUAACCUCAGGAGCUCCUGAAGUGGCGACCGCCUAACCUUGAUCACUGCUGUGGGUUGCACAGAGGGCGACUGAACUGGGACAAGUUUGGUUGCCUGCAUCAGCUUGGGUUGCUGUGAGAAAAAUCCCAGGCACUGGGAGGGGGAUCUUGGACAAUUUAUUUUCUCACAGUUCUGGAGAGUGGGAAGUCACAUCCCAGGUGAGGACUCUCUUAAUGGCUUAGGGAUGUCACCUACUCCCCGUCCCCUCACACUGCAGAGACAGGAAGCAAGCUGAUUCUCUUCUUCUUAUGUAGCACUGGCUGGGCUCUGGUGGGGGCUCCACUUUCAAACCUCAUCUGAAACCUGAUUAUCCCCCAUAGGCUACCAUCCCACUGGGGGUCAGUGCUUUAACAUAGACAUUUGGGGAGCCACAAACCUCAGCCCAUAGCUUGGACAAUGCUCCAAGCAUUCUAAUAACUUUCAGGAUGUCCAGAUUGCCUCCAAAUGUGUUACUAAAAAUCCUCAACUGGCUCAAUUGUUUGCUUAGACAGAGCCCCUUCUCCCCUUUCUUUCUGGGUGUACUCUAUCCUCUUCUUCCUGUGCAGUUUUAAAUCAUAAUUAAGUCUGUGGUGUCACUGUUUUAAAUGAGAGUGUGGGCUUUUUUUUUUUUUGGUAGUUCAACAACAAGUUCCUUCAUAUUCUGCAUAAUUGAAUCCCAUUUUAAUUUCGUUGGGAAUAAAGAUCUAUUUUACAUUUCUAUUAGAAAGUCAGGCCCAUGUGGCUAGGGCUGAAUCAGGUUGUUUGCUGUUGGGUGUUUUGAAACCUGGAGUCUUAAGAGUUGAUUCAGCGUUUAAAACACUCAUCUCUGAUUCUUUAGUGCAAGGAAAGAAAGUUUCAGUCUUAAGCUGAUAAAAAGUCAUGGAUUUCACCUCAAAACUACUAUUGAGAAAAUAAGAAAAUGAAGUGUACAAGUGAUAUAGCAAGCAGAGAAUAACUAUAAUCAUGAAUUACAUAUACUCCAAAAACUUGUUGGUCUUGGCUUUAGGCAUAUAUAUUUGUAUAUGUAUUUUAUUUUUAUAUUUUAUUAUCUAUAUGGUUAACACCCAUGGUUUACAUAAAACCAAAUAAUGACAACUAAGAAGGGUACAUAAGACAUAUAACCAAGAGGCCUGAGUUCUGAUCCCACCGUGAUUGUUAAUUAAAAAGUGGUUUUGAGCAAAUAAUAGCUUUCAUACUAGAGGGCUUACUUUCUCCAUAGAACAGUCACUACCCAAGCCACACUCCAUAUAUAACCCGAGACUAUGUUCUAUGACCCCAUGACUAAGGCCCAGUGUUUUAAAAAGAAUCAGAAAAUUAUUACUGAGACAUCGUUUAUAACCAUUCAAGUCACCUGUCUUAAGAGUGCAAUUUAGUAAAGUUAUGGAGUUCUACAACUAUCACCAUCAUCACCCCACAAACAUCCCUGUCUGUCACAUUCCCUUAUUCCCCAUAACCUAAGACAACUAUUAAUCUCCAUUUACUUUGAUGGGUACUUUACUUAAAUAGAAUUACGUAAAAUGAAGUCUUUUGUGUCUGGCUUCUUUCACCCAGCAUCCUGUUUGUAGCACAAGUCAACACAGGUUGAGUAUCCCUUAUUGGAAGUGCUUGGGACCAAAAAUGUUACAUGUGUCAGAGUUUUUUUUUUUUUUUUAAAUUUUGCAGUAUUUACAUAGACUUUAAUGGUUGAGUAUGCUUAAUCCAAAAAUUUUAGAUUUCCAGAUUAGAGAUGCUCAAUCUGUAUCUUUUUAUUGCUUGGCAAUAUUCCAUUGGAUGGACAGAUUGAUCUUGUUUGUCCAUCCAGCUGAUGGGCUCCUUUUCCUCUUGUACCUAAGAGUCAUUUACUCUCUACACCUGAAGGGAAUAUGUCUCUCUUAGAGACGUAUGGGACUUUUAUUUGAGGUCUUCCCUUGCAGAAAAGGCUAGAGCUUGGUGUUUUAAACUACUGACAAUCUUCCAGUGAGUGCACUGAGCGGGUUGGGUCCCAGAGAAUGUGACUGGGUAACUCUGCAGUAGCCACCAGUAGGUAUGGUAGUACUAGCUGUGGUGCUUCUCAGGGGUAUGUUGCAGUGGGCAGGAGUGUGUGGCUUCCCUCUCUAUCUUAGUUUCUUUGUUGUCACUGGGAUGAAACAUCUGACGCUUGCAACUUGAAGGAGGAGAGGUUUAUUUUGGUUCAUGGUUUCAGAGGAUUCAGUUUGUGAUCUGUGGCUCCAAGGCAGAAAUAGUAUGGUGGCAGUGGCCAGCUGAGUAAAGCCAUUCAACCCAUGGCGGCCAGGAAGCAGAAAGACAGGAGGGGUGGAGACAAGAAUUCACCCUUCCAGGUCCCACUCCCAGUGAGCUCACCUUUUAGUUAGGCUCUAUCUCCCCUACAGCAUGUGAAUUUGCCAGUGGAUGAACCCCUGGUAAGUACACACCCUCCAUCCUCCAUGAUCCAGUCACCUUCCAAAGACCCAGCUCAGAAUAUGUGAGACUUUCGAGGACAUUUCAGGUCUAAGUGGCAAUGGCCAGUGAGCAACUGGACCCCGUCCAUGCCUGUGAAAGCCUGCUUGCUUUGUGCAUUUGUUUUGCUAUUGGGUGGUGUUGUAUUGAAGUCAGAGAGUUAAGCACCCCGACUUUUACUUUGAUUGAGUAACGUUAUAUUCCCUGUUCCCUGACAGUCAUCUAAAUUGUCACGAACAACAAAACCAGGGAAAGAGUUGUAUGCUUUGCUUUUCCGCUGGGGGUCACAACAGCUGCUAAAAAUGGUGAAGGGAAGGUGGCUAGACUGAGAGGAGGACUGAGCUAACUCUGCUUCUUCAUUUAUUAAUUUCUUUUUUUAAAAGAGAAGCCAUGCACUAGCUGACGCUCCUGUGUUAGUGUUUGCUGCUCUUUUCGUGCUGGGAGUGAAGAUGGAUGUGCGUUUCCAUCUGGUGAGAUGCUAGCUAAUGGAGGGUGGCAGCGCGGUAUUCUGACGCUUCUCACAGGGCUCUGCAGCUCGGAGCUUAGCUCUGGAGACGUGGGUCAUCUGUAACAGGGCUCUGUCUUCAGCUGUCCUGGGGCUGUCCCCUUCCCUGGAAUCCACGCUGGCUCAUGUGUCCCUCAGACUGAAGGAGCGAGGUCCUCUGUUUGCCUCUUUCAUGCCCUUCGAAUAGGUGUGUUUUGUGAGCACAUUCUGUUUCCCAUUUCAGGAAGGUGGGGCUCAGCAGGUAGCGUGUGUAUGUGUGCACCCAUGUGCAUAUGUACACGUGUCUAGAGAUUCACACAUACGCUUACCUUCUCCAACUGCUUACCAGGACCAGGCCUAUCAAAGCCAGCAGCUUGCUUCAGUUUUAUUUAGCAUGCUAAUUAUAAACAGCGGCAGUAAUAUCUUUGGGAAUUUAUAAGUUAGACUGGUGGCUGUUCCCAGCAGUGGAAGCGAGGUGUAGCGGCAGCAUGCCCUGCCUCCUGGGGCCUGGGGAAACCUUGCCUUGGUCGCAUCCACGUGGCAGGGGUUCUGUCCAGGCAGAUGAGCUGGCUGGUCUUCAGUAGACAGCAGACCUUCCUUGAGUGGAGCCUGAGCUCUGGUGGCUGGGGGCAGAAGUGUCACUGUGCUGCCGGGCUGCUCUGGGUGAGCACAUUCUCCCCCUUUCUCUCCCACAGCUGGGUGGUGGAGGUAGAGGGAGGGCGCUCACCUUUCUCGUUUGGACUGGUCCUGGGGUCACAGCUCAUCUCCCUGGGGACCGUUUAUGUAGGAGCCUCAGUCUGAGCUGCAAGUUCUUGAAAGACAGGGGAGCAGCAGUUGAGCCUUGUGUUCCUCCAGCAUCCUAGCACAGCCCUUGGCAGGACAACACACCCUCCCCUCCUGUCCUGUAAGUAGCUGAUGAAUAAAUACUUCCCAUAGGACCAUGCUGGUGUUCAUGGUGGUGCCUACACCACUGCUGGGGGCCCUCGACACACAAAUAAAGAGUCCCCAGCUCUUCCCCUUUCUCCUCCCUCCUCCUCCCCUUCCUGGCUGCUUCCCUUCCUCUCUCUUUACUCCCUUCCAAACCCACAGUUCAGCUCUUGUGCUUUGGAGCUGCUGCCUAAGGGGAUGAGGUUACAAAGAUGAAGUUAAAUAUUGUCUGUAGUUCCCUUGGGGUUUGGGCAGUGAUUUGACAGGAGCUCGUGACAGGCCUGGGCUCUCAUUUACCGAUUACUUACUCUGCCCCAGGUACUGGACACACAGGGCUCGGACUUUCUAGUCAUCUCUGCCUUCUCACAGGGGCUAAGAAUUUGAUCUCCAUUUUGCAGAUGAAAAGCUAAGCGUGGACCAAGGCUCUGUCUAUCAGCAUGAUCACACAUUUUCUUCUGUAUCAGAACUGUGUCCUUACCUCUGACACUGAGGCUAGCAUCCAAGGGAUUUCUGGAAACCUAAAUCUCAUACAUCACUUCCUAGCUUAACACCCUGCAUCAGAUGCCAGUUGCUCUGAGAACAUAAGACCCAUUCUGAUGGUGUCACUCAGCCCUUUCUUGCACCCUGGUUCAUCUUCCCUGUCCCCAUCAUGCUCUGUCCUCCAUCUGCUCUGAACUGGGGUCCCCAGACAUGCUGUGCUUUCUCCACUCCACCUGCCUUCCCUCCAUCUGAGCACCCGCCUCGGCAGCAUCUCCUGCAUGCCUCGCCCUACCCUGAACCCCCAAGACACAGCAGGGUACAGAUACUUCAGCCCCCCCGGGGGGGGUCCUCUCAUGCUGAGCCUGGCCAUCUGGGACUCUCAGCGGGGACCUGCUGCCCUAGACCUCACUCCUGCCAGUCCACAUUCUUCCCUUGUCCUCUAAAGCGCCCGAGUUUUCCUGGCCCACCGCUUGUACCUCCUCUGAGUUCAGAGUGCCAAGUUCUGUGAAAGCAAAGGAGUCUGUUGCUCAGGGUAGUACACAGAAGGUGCGCAACAGAAGCCCACGGACAAAAUCAGUGCAGGAUGCAUGGGACACCAGAAAUCAUUGUGGGAAAGUACAUUCCCUCUGCAGUCAUUUUGCACAAAACUCAUUCUCUGCAGCCAGUGGCUUGGUGAGGGCCUUUGACCAGUAGGCGGCAUCUGACUUGUGGAUGGUAAGUUUACUGUCAGUCACAUCAUUGCUGUUUUACUUGUAAUUUGUCUUCCUGGCGGCUUUUAAGGUUCUCUCUUCCUUUGGCAUUGUGCAGGGUCACUGGGAUAUGUUUAGGCCUGGAUAUGCUUCUUCAUCACUGUAACUUGUUUGCCUUUAACUCUGGAAUAUUCUUAGACAUUCUUUUUUUUUUUUUUUUUUUUUAACUCGGUCCCUUUUUCUGGAACUCCUGUUGGCGUACAAGAGCACUUCCCAUUUUAUCUUCUAUUUAAUUUCUCCUUCUUGCUUUUAUUUCUGUUUUUUUAUGUCCAGUGCUCUGAGCAAUUUCCUCAGUCUUUUCUUUGAGCCACUUUGGCCUCUGUCUAAUCUACUGUGUAAACUGCUUAUUGGAUUUUUUAAAUGAUGGUUUAAUAUACGUGCUGAGAAGUAAUAAGGCUUUUACGUGACAGUCUGCUCAAGCAGCCAUCACCCACAUCGUUAGUGAACAUCUACUGCUCCCUGAAAUCCCCUUCCUUGCGUUAUAUUGAAUUUCGUAUACAUGGAAACCUGCCAAAUGUAUUCUUCUUCUAUGUUGUGUUCUUUGCAUCUUUAAUUUUAAAGACUAUAUUUGUUUUUACUGGAAAAUGUUUUUCUUUUCCUCUGUUUUGUUUGCUAUCAUUUUUUUACUAACAUCUUUAUGUUUUCUGUGUCUUUUUAAAAACUUCUUCAAUAAUUUUACACUCCCUCUUUUGUGAACCUUCCAUCCUGUCCUAUGAUGUCAGGUUAAUUUUCAUUGCUGGUGUCUUGUGUUUAGUGGAUCUGCUUCUUAGGUGGAUUGCAGUUUUUGAUGACAAACUCCUCUUUGCCAGAUCCCCCAACCUGGCUGUCCUGUGUGGCCUGGGCUGUGUACCUCUCCUGGGACACAGGGGAAGUACAAAUGCAGAAUUCAAAGGCAUCUGCCUAUCCAUAGGUUCAGAAUUUGACUUUCUCAUUUGAGCCUGGUUUUAGUUUUUUGUUUAUUCUACCUAGAAUUCCAAGUGCGUGGCAACUUCUCCUUUUUCUUCCUUGGGGGUGGGGUCAUGUUUUUCUGGGCUUUCGUUCAGAAAAGAGGGCUUUGCCCAUCGAUCCUGUCCUCCUCAGUGUCUCUGUUCUUAUUCUAGCUAGGGACACUCCAUGGUUACCUCUCCCUCCCUGGAGGUGUCUGUCUCCAGGCCACCCCCACCCACGGGCUGUGUUGGGGAGGUGACUUCUCCUACCUCAGGCCAUCUUUCUGUGAUCUGCUCAUUUUUUCUGAUUCUUUUUUGCUUUGCUUCUGGCCUUUGAGAGUUUUGCGGUUUUGGCCUCUGGUAAGUUUGUGUAGAAGAAUCAGUUAAUAGAGGAGAAACAGUAUGAAAAGGGAGGCAGAUGUUUUAAAGUUGGGAAAGGGGACUGGAAAGGAUGGAAAAUCUUUUUUUUUCUCUCUCUGUGUCCCUGUUACACUUAAACACAUGCAAAGAAAGAACAGCAUAGGUUAUUGAACCUACCCCAGACUUGACUUUCAGUUUUUUUUAAAAGGGCCUAAAAACUGUAAGUUUUUAUUAAAUGCUCCAGGUGACUAUUCAGAUCAAGCAAGUCUGAGAAAUAUUCAAAGUUCUAGAGGUAGAAAUAUUAUAUUGCAUGCAUAAAUAUUACAUAGGCCCUAAUAGUAGGUUUUAUUUAGCCUGUCAGGGUGUGAGGACCUGGUGGUUAUCUCUCUAUUUCUGUCUUCUUUUAUCUUGCUUCUAACAUUCCAUCCAUGGAAAAGCAGGCAUCGGAAUAUCUAAUCAGGAUCAGGCCGAAAUGGACGGGGCACAUUCUAUUUUGGGUUGCGUUAUGUAGACCCAGUGGGAACAGUGUUCUGUUGGACUCUGUGUCUGUGUCUCCUCAGACAUACACUGGUAAACCAAAUGGUGUGCAGGCUCCUGAGGAACAACAUGGAGAUAUUACUGAACAUCUUAGUUCAGAGCUAUUUCCGGGAAAAAAUUAGAGUUAAUGUGAAGUGUUUGAGGAACCCUGUGUAGUUAAAGUGCCCCAGAGACGCAAUCUGAUGAGAGAUUACCCCCCCUCCCGCCCCGUUACUGUUUACAGGGAAACUGCAGGAUUUCUUUUUCAUUUCUUCGUCUACUUUUGCCUACAGGAUGGUUGCAUUGCUUUCAGGGCCCUGUCCGUUUGUCCCUUUGUGGACUAUUUGACCUGUAUCUCCCAGGUGUUAUGGUAAGUGUGGCUACCCUGGGAAUGCAAAAAAAAAUUUGCCUGAAAUCUUGCUUUUUGUUUUUGAAUGAGCAACAGGCUCCCAGAAGUGACAGCAGAUGCGUGGGGACUUGGACAUUCACACCAUUGGAUAAGAUGGGUCAAUCUUGUCCAACCCUGUUUACGCCCCUGGGUUUAUAAACAGCGAUCACCCACCCUUGGGUUUUUCUAUGAUGCUUCCAAGAAAUGUCUCAACUUUGCAAAUGAAAAUCCAAAUAUAAACUCUGAGGGUGGUGUGGAAGAUAAUACUUGUUGUGAAGCCUAAUUUAGAAAAAUCAUUUAUUGUGCCACCUUAUCACUGUGAAAAAAUAUGUGGUCUCUUGCAUUUGUUAAAACAAGUCAGCUUCUGCUUUCUGGUCUCAAAACACACUUUGCAUUUUUUUUUUCCCUGGGACCGUCAAUUUAAUUCAGGAAUGAUCUAAUUAUGAGGAAGUGAAUCCAGGCCUCUGGAUGGUAAGUGCUGACUACCCUGGGAGAAGCCCUGGCAGAUGGUUAGUUCAGAGUGAAUUUACCUUGGGAUUGGGGCUUUAGAUUGACAGCUUUUUCCACUCAAUUAAGUGCAGCAACUGCUAAAAGAUGGCAUUGAACUUGCUGUAGAUCACCUCUGUUGCAGGCCUGGGCUAACCUUGUGAGGGUGUUUCCGGUGCCGCAUUGUAUGAAAGAAACAAAGCCCGAGGUGUACAGAGAGGCCCGAGACGCCUCUCCUUUAAAAUGUGGGUAUUUAUGUCCUUUUCCGGGUCGCUCGCUUUAUUUAGGGCCUCUAUUUUGGUUUCCUGUUGCCAGUGAUUCACUAGGUGUCUCCUGAAGUGACUCCGUGUUCCAGGAAGUUCGUGUAUGGCUCUUUUAUUUGGGGUGCAAUGUGACCCCUCUGUGUGCCUUGACACACCCUAGCUGACUCCUUGGUCCAGAGAGGAGAGAGGCCUUCCCAGCCAGUGUACACAUCCACAUCCCUGGAGCUGAGAGGCCCCGCAGCUGCUCCUCCCAAAGCCAGUGGGCUCGGAAGUGAGCAGAGGACUUUCUGCACUGGCUCCCCUGGCUGGGCUGUGUUGUGUUGGAGUCUGCGCCCUGCGGGCAGCUUUUUCUGCAUGCCUCUUCUUGCUCUCUUAGGGUGCUCCUGGCUGAACCCCGACUCACUGCACUCAUGCUUAGCAUCCUCAGAGAGGGUCCAUUCAGAUGUUUCUGGACAGUGUAAGGAAGCCUGGCACCCUGCACCCAGAGUUCCCAAGGGGGAUUGUUUUCAGAGGAGGUGGCCCCCUUUCUGCGUCUGUCCCAAGCCGUCCUCACCCUGUGCCACAGUGCCCAGGUGCCCAGGAGCCCUGAGCAGUGCCCCUAGCUCUGUGUUGUAAUUUCCGUUUCACCAGCCUGGGCAGUCUAAGCUUGCAGUUCCCCCAUCAGGUACAGGCUGUUGUCAGCCUGUUAUCAGUUUCCUGAUUUCCUGUGUAAGCAGUUUGGAUAAUCCCUGUCAUAUGUGAUUACAUUCUCUCCCCCUCCCCAUAACAUCUCGCUGUAAUUGGUUUGAUAAACUCGACCUCAGUCCAGUAGUUUGCUUGGAAUAUACUUUCACCUUCUAUCUGUGUGACUAAGAUGGUUUUGAAUUGCUCUGCUCGGGAAAAUCGGGCUUCUGAGCAGCAGGGCCCUCGGCAGUGAAAGCCAAUCACAGAGCAGGUGGCAUGGAUGUGGGAGAGCUGGGGACUUCAGUUAAGCUCUGGGUCAAAAUGGAUUUUUCUCUCCCCAGCUCAUGUGGAGAGCUGUGGGCAUUUCUCUGUGCGGUUUGCAGGAUCCAGGGAACAUUAUCCUGUCCAUGUUUGUGACUCCUGGGGCCGCUGGACUGACUUCCUGUCCCCCUGAAGUGGGAAGUGCCUGCAUAUUGGUUUAGGGAUCCCUGCUUUGUGCCAGGAGCAGUCCCUAGGGGACAGGAGCUUUGCAUUUUCCUUUUCUCCUCUUUUCUUUCCUUACCCUAUUGGCUCUGCUUCUAAAGGCAGAGGAGGAGUCUGUAUGCUUUGACAGUGGAACUUUGGGGUGGGGUUGAUAAGCAUUUUGGUUAAUUUCAUGCUAAAAUGCCAAAGCUGCUUGAGGCCAUAGCUUGCUGACUUUAAUUUGUCUAAUAAUUCAGCACCUAAUAGAGCUCCAAGGCUUCACCGAGAGGGCGGUUUGAGACUUGAGGUUGGAACAGCCUAUGAGAUUUAGGAAAGGAGCGAUGGUUCAGGGAGGUGAGAGAGGGCUUCCCUAGUCCGGGAGACUCCUUGUCCAGCCCUGUUGCAUUUACAGAUUGGAGCAGAGGAUCUUGCAGGCAGGGGCUUGCAAAGGGGCAAAGAAGGAAGGCAAGUAAAGGAGUCCCACGGACUAGUGCAGAGUGGAAGACUCUCCUGCCAAGCUACAGUCUGUAGGCAGUGGGGAGCCAUGUAAGGUUCGUGAGCUAAGGGUAGUGUCAUCAGGACCGCACUGACAGAAAAUACACGUAUGUGACACCAAUAUAGAAAGUGUUUUUUCUAUUUUGAGGACAAUACAAUGUGGGCCAAAGCUUUCUCACUACUUCCAUAGUAGUUAUUUUAAAUAUUCCUUUAGAACGAAACACUUCUAGUAGACCGUUUCCUUCCGGGGCACAGAUUUUUUCUCAGUCUUGGGAAUGUCUGGUGAGCCUCCUCUUAGGAGAUGAAUAUGAACCCCCUCCUAUGGGCGGAUCCCACCAGCCCAAUCUUGCAGCCGUGGCCACACAUCCCAGCUGCCCAUGCUCAGGGUGUUCUGCACACACAGGUGUGGUCAAGACAAAGAGGAGAAUGUACAGAUGUCAUCGGUGCUCCUGUGCCCCCAGCUGUGGCACUAGAUUGAAAUGUCCAGGAUGUUAUGCCAGGGUCUUGUACCUGGCUAUCUCUAGGCUGUUGCUCUCUUUAUUUAAGUUUUUAGUGUUUUGCUUUUCCUAGAGAUAGUCUCUCACGUUCACAUUGAUUUUUGCAGCAUUGCACUGGCAUGUUAUUUAUCUUGGUGUUCACAUCCUCUUGGGUUCUGUACCUAAGGUGAGCCCCUUACUUGCUUCUUCCUUGUCCAGCCCUGUUGCAUUUACAAAUUGGAGCAGAGGAUCUCCAAAUGCUCUGGGUUUUUGAACAUCUCUAGAUGUACUGUCGGCCUUACAGAGUGCAGGUACCUCCUACCAGGUGGGACUCAUGGAAACAAGACCAACCCUGCACCUUGAGCUCCCUGGGCGUCUCUCAGGAGCCCUGCCUGGGUGAAAGCCUGCACUAUAAGUCUUUGCCAUGUGCCUGGAGCAACAUUGUCUAAGUCAGAGGCUCCUGGCAUCUACUGACUCUGCCGCAUCUGUCCCGCCUUCUUUGUGCUGAGUGCUGCUGGCCUAGGAUUGCAGAUGUGGACGCUGGAGUGAUGCUGUCUGACAUGUUGAUGUUUCCUAGUGGAUGGCCUCAUGGUGGCACCUGCUGACUCUCUGAGAAGAGACUGCAGGAGUUAAUACUCUUCUUUUGCUGCUGACAAGGUCAAGAUGCAGUGAGGAAGACCCCCUCCAGACCCCCCAGGCUGAGAGAGGCAGUGCCUGGCACUCAGGCCACGGUCACAUUCCUGGCAAGCUCCUCUGUGCCAGGGCCCAGCCUGGAGAUGGGAUCUGCUUUGUUCUCGCUGCAAAGCACCCUGUUAUUAAAGCCUCCCCUGGUUCCCAGUUUCAGCACCUCUUCUUCUGAGCUGUGUCAGACCCAAGAAGCACCUUUAUUGCCACGCAGGGAGAGAGAGUUGCAGACGGUUUUGUAAUUGAACAGCCGAGGGCCUGUCGCUAUUCAUUGUCCUCAGUCUGGCUGUUCUGGGGCUGAUGCCCCAGCAGGGACCGGGCUCCCAGAGCUGGCUGUGCCCUCGGUGGCUCCCUAACAGUGUUCCCUUUGGUCUGCGAGGAAAUGUGUCUUUAAAUUUUUCCUGUUUUCUGAAUUCUGCUCUGGCAAGCCAGCUCUGCCUUCAACCUGCAGAGUUAAAUUUACCCGGACUGACAACUGUAUGUGCUGGGUUUAGUUACAUAACAGCGGUGGCUGCUUUUCACACCGUGCUAAUCCAAACAUGGUGCACAGGGGCCAGGAGGAAGCAGCCUGUGUUUGGGGUGCUAUGUGUGUGACUGGAUCCUGUGUCUUUACCGUUUUUGAAAACACUGUACUAAUUAUCUCAUUAUCCUGACUUUGGUGCCAUUAGGUGACUUUUUUAAUAUCUUAAUUAUUAGGUUAGCAGAUGCUGUGUGCACAUGGGCGAUUUGUUAAUUUAUGCUGUUUGAAAUGAAAUCCAGUUGUUUUGCAGCAUAUUUCAUAAUAUUCCGGCCAGCUGAAUUCUAGAGUUGCUGGCAUCGCAGAGCUACCCUAGGGGAAAUGAGUGCUUUAUUCUUUUUGUCCUCUUUAGUGGUGACUUUAAACAUCGCUUAUGACUCCCAUCUCCCCAGUUUCCAUCUGAGAAUGUAUUUUGAGCAUUGCAGGCUGGCAGGGGUUGGGGAGGCUCAGCAGAGGACUCUCAGAGCCACUGGCAUGCUGGAGGAGAGUAUGUUCCCAUCCAUAAGCAGCCCUGACUUGUUGGGGGAACUGAGGAGGGGUGGAGGGCUGGCCGCAUGGAGACCUGGAAUCUGAGGGCCAUGGAUGUGGGCUCCCCUUUGGUUGAUAGCCUGAGACUUCAACACACAACAGAGACUGCUCCUUAGCCAUUCAAGGAGCCUCUAAAUAUUUUUGAGUGGCUGCUAAUACCUCAGUUCACAAAUGCUUCUGUUUGCAAACAAUUUGGUUUGCAAAUAAAAACAUUUGGCACAAUUUUGCUUCUGUUCACAAACGCCACAUCCGCAGCCUUCUCACACAAACACAAACGCAGCCAUCUUUCCCAAACUUAAAACAAAUUAAACUGAUAAACCAAGGUAGCAUUAUACUUCAGGCAGUGUUGAGUAGAUGUGAACUAAUGGAGCCAAAGAGCAUGGCCUUGGGAGUUAGAUCUGGAUUUAAAUGGUGGCUGUUGGUUUACAACAGCCUUGACCAGGUGGUUUUAUUUCUUUAAGCCUCCAUUUCUAUAAGAGGAAUGGAAAGUUCUCUUUAAUAGGCUUAUUGAUCAAGAUUAUGAAGCGACCAGCUUUGUAGCUGACCCACAUGAGAUAAAUGGUCAGGACUUCCUUUUCCUGCAUCAGAAGUGGGGACUUAAGUAAAGGAACAAAAUAAGUAAUGCAGAAAUGGCCCUUGGCUAGUGAAUGAGAGACGCGAAAAGUUCCAUGAGUUCAGAGGAGGCAAGAGAUGACUGGGAAUUUUCUCACAGAGGUAACUCCUGACCAGUUGUGAGGGGCGAAGGGAAUUUAGGUGGGUAUAAAGACCAUCGGGGCUGUGGUGGGGAGGCUCCCAGUGGAGCAGUUACUGUGUGUAAAGGCACACAGGUAGAGCAACCAACAGCCCAGCAUUUGCUUGGGAAAUGUCAGCAUAUGUAUCGGAUUGAAAUUGAUGGUUUGCAUGUGAUAAACAGUGAGAUUAUAAAGGAGGUUAGAAAUUGAGGAAAAGCUUGCAUUAUCUUGUAUAAUUUGAUUCCUUAAAACUGAGCUCUGGACCAGCCUACAGACUUCUGGCCAGCCCAGUGUAGUCUCAGCCCACACUUCAGGAGUGGACCUCUAGUGGCCAAGAGAGUUACUGCAGUACUUAGGAGCAUACCUCUUGUUUAAUGAUAACUCCUGCAAGAGAAGCUCCAGUGUAAAUUGGAAGCAAAAUGUAAAUAACAUCCAGGAUGACAGCAGUACGGCUGAUAGCCUGACAUCUUACCAUUAAGAGUUGCAGAAAGCAUUAAAAAAUAAAGCAUCCCGGGGCCAUUUAGUGAUAGGGCAAAGCUGCCUGUAAACCUCUGUAGAUGCUAAAGGCCUCACCAUCUUACCAGAAAUCAUAAUUGGCAACUUUGAAAUAGCACGAAUGAUAUUACUGUGAUUAGCAACAGCGGCAGCCUUUGCUUCUUCACCUGGUGCUGUGCUAAUCAUUUCAUUCCAUUGUCUUAAUUCUCACCGCACUUCCACGAGAGCGGUAUUGUCAUUAUCCCUGUAUUACAGAAGUACAGAGUGUGGUUGAAAGAGGUUAAUUAAUUUGCUUAAGGUCACCUCGUUGGAAAAUGUAUAAUGGAAUAUAAACCUGGGCAGUAUGGCUCUAUCUGUGCUUUUACAAAUACGGCUACUAUUCGGUGACCUCCAAACCUUGAGUCAUAAUGACAUAAUAUUCAGGAAACCCUUUGAACCACACAUGGAAUGUGCAGUGCUGCAUUUAAAAAUAUAAACUGCAAGAAAACAAGCAAAGAUGUCCUAUCCGAGUGGUCACCACUGUGGGGGAAUGCUGCCUCCCCUGGUCUAAGAGAGAUGGAACUCCACGUUUUAAGUCAAUAUUAAACGUGCGCGUUGGCUUGCUUUUCCUAUUCCCCAGCCCCUUGACUCCUUUUCUCUCUGAACAGGGAAAGGCAAGAGGCUGCGUGUCUCUCAAAGGCAUGCAGCUUUGCUUCUGCUCCAGAACGUGAAGCAAUUUCAUUAGCGCACUCCUGGAGUCACAGAGGACUCGGGCGCUUCUCGGUGGUCAUUCGUUACCGUGGCCUUGGCCUCGCUGGAGAGCGAGUGAAGAGCGGCUGGAAGAGUUUGUCAUAGCACGUUCCCCAGGGCUGUAGGGAAGCGCUGUGGAGCCACUGCCAGCUAAGUGACUUCUGGGGAGAGGGGCACUGUAGUAGCGGCAACUCAUCUUGGGUGUCCGAGGGCCACCUGCUGGGGUCAGGGUCUCAGGGCGGCACGUGGUGGAAAUGGAACAUCGAGCUAGGAGUCGUGGUGCUCAACACUGCACUUGGCCACCACCACUGUUAGGAUGGUCUUGGGAGAAUGGCCAAGCCUGGCUUAGGUCUCAGAGUCCACCUUGGCAAAAGUGAAAAAUGUAAAGACAACCUGUGCGUACAGCAGGCAGUGUCACGGUUCUUCAGUGCCGUGGAACUGCUGUCAUUAGUGGCACUGGUCAUGGUUCUUUGGAGGGUCAUAUGAGAAGAACCAGAUUUAAGGCAUUGUAAGGAAAAAUGAUAAUAAAUGGGCUCAUGGAACUGGAAAUAUUUAGGGGAAGAUAAACCUUCAGGAAGAGCUGGAUCCAGGGAGUCAGAGGGUUUCUGAGUUGGCCCAUUUCUUCUGUUCACUGGUAGUUUGUCUCUAAGAAAAGUAUGACUUUUACUGUGUGAAUCCAUAACCACGAACUCACUGGUCCAGGCUGAGUCACAAGACCCCCCCAUCCUUACUCCACACUGGUAACUGGAGCUGGAGAAGGGGCAGUGGGAUACGGCUCACUAAUGGCCAGCCUGGGGCUCAUCCUGUGCUUGUGGAACGCAUGGUUCUAAAAAUAUCUCGUUGCUUUAUGAGCGAAUAGAGUGGAGAUAGGCUGAACUGAGAUGAAGACAAGACUAUAUCAGCAUGACAAGAAUGAAAGCAUAAGAGGUAAGAACUGGAAUAAUAUGUCCAGGGAUGAACAGAAGGAUGUGUGUGUGGUAGAUGGUUCAUACUGGGAGGUGGCUGGGGAGGGUCCUAGUGGCUCUGCUGUGUUUGGGCUUGGCUGUUGUUUACUUACUGCUAGAGAGCUAUGGAGGGUUUCAUGCUGAGGUGCUGAAAGGUAAUAGUAAUAGCAACAACUAGACUUUGCAGACAUUUUCGUACCUGCCAGACACAGCCACUGCUACCUGGUUGGUCUGACCUUACAACAACCCUUCGAGGCAGGUGUUAGCUCUUUUUUAGAUUUGCAGUUGCAGACGCUGGGGUGUGAAGAACUUGCUCCAACCCUCAGAUAACCCGAGUUGCAGAAUGGGGCACAUCUGAGUCUCUCUGCUCAGUGACCACGUGUCAUUAUCGGGGAGGAGCAUGGCAGUUGGAGUGUGCCCUAGCCGCAGGAUGCAGGCAUCACUUGUUCAUCCCAUAAAUCACUCUCCAGGGAUAACCAGGAGAAGCAGCAGGUGGACCCCCUGCCUCACAGGCGUGGGAUCUCAGGGAAAUGAAGGUCCUGACGUAUCACGGUAGAUGCCAAUGUUUGGGGUCUUUCCAGGUGGAUGACACAAGGCCUCAGGCUGAGUUGUAGAGUCCUCUAGUUACUGAGCAUGUGCUCCUCCUCCUGUAGCAGAUGCAUCCUGGGUUGAAUGGGGUAUUGGGGUAAGCAGUGUUGUAAGGAAACAUGAUAAUAAGAAGGCUCAUGGAACUGGAAAUAUUUAGGGGAAGAUAAAACUUGAGGAAGAGCUGGACCCAGGGAGUCACAGAGAGUUUCUGAGUUGGCCAUCUUUUACUGAUCAUCGAUUUUUCCCUCAACCCUAGGUGGAGCGGUGGGGAGGGGUCCCUUGCAGCUUGGUUGGGAAACAGGCAAUCCAAACUAAUUUGCCUUUAAGCAGAAACCAGUACAACAUGUCACUUUUAAAGUAAAGCACAUUAAUUCCCGGAAUGACUAUUUUAUGGUGAAGAGCAGCCUGUCUAAAUGAGAGGAAUUAAAGGCCAGUGGUCAAGUUCUCCACAUUAUUCACACCACCCUUCUCAAUAAAUCACAAUUGCUGAAACCGCAGGUUGGCGCUUACUUAAAUAGCAGCCUGCUGGUUAUGGGUGCUGUGUGGGGACGUGACCUCCGUUUGCACGCUUCAUGCUCUGUGGAGAGCUAACCCUCCAGUGCUGCACACAUCCCUUGGUUAUCAACCUAUGGAUCUUGUGCACCAUUAAACAAGACUGAGACCGAGCCUGGUCUGCAGCUGUAAUCUUCAUUCCAGGCAGCCUUUGCAGAGAGAGCAAAGCUUGAAUGGCAGUAGCAUUUGGCAUUCAGACCUGUAGCACUCUAAAGACCUGAGUUUUAAAUAUUGCUGUUCCCACCCGUUUUCAGAGCAGUUCAAGCUUGCAGAAUAAGGGAGAGCAAAAUGGUCAGGAACCCAUCAGCAUCUGGGGCCUCACUGAAGAUGCUGUAGUGGGCAGAGUCAUACUUUGGGUUCCUGGGAGUUUCUUUGGGUGCCAUGGAUGCAGGAGUCCCACUUGACUCCUUCACUGUUUGCAGAAUGAGACCAGAUAAACAGACCCUGUUUCAACCCCGUGGGAGGACAGGAUGGAGAGUGGUGAGUAUUUUAAAAGCUGACACUGUGUUUACCUGCAAAGCACUGGUUUGACUAAAAUGUUUAGAAUACAAUCAAAGAAAUCCAGUAGCUGUCCUCAUGGUACUUCAGGACACUUACCCGGGAUGAUAUCUUCCUGUCACACUUUCCCUCUUGACCACUUCAUGUGCCCUGAUCAGAAGUGAUUUUUGUUUGGUUUUGCUGUAAGAAGAUAGCAACAUCAAUUUGCUUUUCUUUAAAAAAAAAAAAAAAAAAAAAAGAAAUCAGUUCACACCGUGAUGAUACAGGUAGCAAUCCCCGAGCAGGCAGAGUCACACUAGAAGCUUUGCAUAUUGUGUUUUCAUCUUGCUGCAGCUGAUGCAAGGAAAGCACUGUUCCUAUUUUUAGAUGAAGAAACAGAGGUUCAGAGCUUUGCCCAAAGCCACAGCCGUAGAGCCAGCAUUUCCACACAGGUCCUUUCCACUCUGAAGAAGGUGUUCUUUCCAAGACACAGCACUGCUUUUGCCUUUAAAACCCAGACAUGGGAAAUUUCUCCUGACUGCAUUUAGUCCUUGUUUAUAGAUCAUUAAUUUCUCAGCUGAAAGACUAAGAACCUUAACUUAUGAGCUAUUGAAAAUCAAUCAGAAUUGUUUUAGGGGAAGCCAGUGGGUAGAUAGGAUUCAUAUAUACAAACAAAAUAUUUAUAGUUUGUACCUAUUAUGCAUAAAACUACACAACAUACGUUCUUUAAUAUGCUCAUUAGGUAACAUGGGGCCUCCUGCUUGAAUUUCUUAUGUGACCUAUCUCUCAUGACUAUUUCUUAGUAAGGCAUCCUUGAUAUUUAAGAGUAGGCCUGACCUUAUACAAAAGAUGAUUGUGUAAAGUUCACUUCAGUUUAGUUUUCCAUGUGGCAUCAUACACCAUGUAUCAUGUAAAACAGUUUUAUAAUACCUAUUGGUGCCUCUUUGGUCAAUGGGAAUACACCUUUCAUAAAGAGAUAAGGUCCACCUGUUUUUGUGUGUGUUUCUUAAUUUUAGAUCUGAGUACACUGAUGUUCUUAAAGCAAGACACUCUGAUUUUUUUGGGCCAAAUACUAAUUGAUAAAGCCUUUUUUCAUUGUCAUGUGUGAUAAUCAGCUUCAGUAGGGGUUUUGGGGUUUAAGGGACAGAUAAACUUCAAAAAGGUAUUAUGAGCUUCACUUCAAGCCAAUGGAUAAAAAUCUUACCUGUUCCUUUUAUUGAACAUCACCAUGUUUCCUAUAGAAUAGAAUUACUGAUUUAUUUACCCCAAUCAGUAAUGUAGGUGCUUCUGUUCCAUUUUGGAGACUGCUGGAGUUGUGAUGGAGAGGCAGUCUGCCUCCCGGGUCCAGGGCCUCUAAGGUUGCAGCCUUCCUUUUUGCUGGAAUGAUGACAUUGUUCUGGCCUACCUGGCCCCUCUCUUCCUCCCCUGAAUUGUCACUGAGACCCAGUGUCCACCACCUGCAGCUUAAAGGAGGAGAGGUUUAUUCUGGCUCCCGGUUUCAGUCCAUAGUCAGCUGACAGUGGUGCAGAAUAGCAGAGGAGCCGGGCAGAGAAAGUGUUUCUGUGAGUGGCAGCCAGGAAGCAAAGAGAGAAGAGAGGAGCCAGGGAGUGAGGUGUCCCCUUCCAGGUAACACCCCAGUGAUCUUCCUCUCCUGCCCACGCCCCACCUCCUGACAGUGUAUUUCCCUACUAACGGGUCAGUGGACUUUGGGGGUAUACUCUAGGUCUACACCGUAGCAGGUCCUUUCGCCUGCCAUCCUUUAAGUCAUCUGCUGCCGAGCUUCUGAAAUCUGGGAAAGCAGAAACGCAGGCUGGAGAAGACCCACUGUGAAACAGGUCCAUGGAGGCCAAGCGAGCCCCCAGGAGUCUGUGAGUGGAGGCUGCCUAUUGCUUACGACUCUGGGCCUUCAUUUUCUCUUUCAUUAUACAAUGAACCCCGCAAAGGCAAAGCUCGUCCCAUCCUCAUUUAAACAUCUUUUAUAACGUCUCACGUGCAUGUGAAAAGGCAUUAAGUUAAGAAGCAGCAUAGGCCUCUGCAUUCAUUGAGCACUGCAAAUCCAGAGGCUGAGAAGACACAGCCCUGAGGCCUGGAUUCCCCUUGCUCUGCUUUCCUCCUGCAAUGCUGUGUAUUUCUUCUUUCUGUUCUAGAAAGUCUGGGACUGGAUUGGUAGUGCCUUUGGUUCUGAUGGGCUUGCACAGUUUUGCCUUUCUCAGCAAGUACAGUAUCAGCUCUUUCUUUCUUUCUGGUGCUGGGAAUCGAAUUCAUGACCUCAUGCUUGUCAAGCAGGCACUGUGCCAGCCCUAGCUACCCAGCCCUAGCUCUUCCUGUUGAGAAAGAUGCCAAGGCCUUCCCCACUGACCUGGCCACUCAAGGGUCAGGAGUGAUGUCCUGCUUCAUUAAGCGCUUCUUGCACAAAUACCCUGGAGAACACAUGGCAUACGAGACACCCUCCUUUGCUGCAGAGGAAACCAGGAAGCAGCAGGCUCCUCCAUCACCUGCCUUCUCCCCAUCAUGGACCUUGUGCUUUGAGAGAUUUUGAUCCUGCAGCUCUGUUUAUUCCUGAUUAUUUCUCAUGUUUUGCUAUUCAGACAGUGUGAAAUGGGACUGUCAAAACAAGUGGUGGACAUAAUUGCAGCGAAGACCCUAGUCAACCAUGCUGCUGCAGAGAAGGCAAGUGCUCCUUUCAGCAGAAUGUUCGAAAUUCCCCAUGCAGCUGCCCUGCCCAGAUCUCAUUUGUACCUGGUCCCUGAUUGGGCCACUGCUGCCCUCUUGUCAAACCCAGCUUUGUCAGUGCCUGUUGUUAUAUAUAAAAUGCUAUUGGAACACAGCCACACCCAUUUUUGCACACCUGGAGUUGCAGAGGGGAGCAGCUCUCACAGAGACCAGAGGGCCCUCAAAGACUCAAACGCUCUCACAGAGACCAGAGGGCCUACAAAGACUCAAACGCUCUCAUAGAGACCAGAGGGCCUACAAAGACUCAAACGUCUUCUCCCAGGCCUCCUACAGAAAUAAUUUCCAUGCCUUUUCUACACUAGAGAAAGGUGGCUCUUGGGUGCUUCAGAUGGGGAAUCUCCUCAAAGCCUGUGCAUCCUGGUAUGUGUGUAUGUGUGGUUAUAAGAUAUUUGACAGGGGAACCACAGGGAAUAUCCAAGAUGCUAAAAGAAAAGACAUGGUGGGAAAUGUAUCACAAAAAUAAAAGAAGAUCCUGUAGAUCUGAGGCAAGGACCUCAGGGGUAUGACAGGUAAGCCUGACUAAUUGCCAUCCUGAUUGGGCCACCCAUGGUUUUGUCUGGGAGGGCCAUGGUGCUGUGCUCUCAGGUCUACAUCUGGUCUCUGGCCCCUUCUCCACGGUGCUGUUGCUCUGCUCUGCUUCCCGUCUACCAUGACUUGAGCAUCUCUGCUCCAUGACACCCUUCCCCAGUGAUGUUCCUGCCUGAGAGCCAGCUCACCAUGGACUGGACCCCCUGAAAUCGUAAGCCAAAUUAAACUUCCUCUUCUUAAACUUGUAAGUGUUGGAUAUCGUGUCCUAGUAAAUCAAGCUGAUUGAUUCAAGGAGUGUGCUAUGGAGCAGAUGUUGGGAGACCUGGUUUAAAUUCCCACCUGAAGCCUAGCAGGAGAGAAGCAGAAAUGCUAACAGGGUGGCACAUAGGGCAGUUCUGUCUUCUUCCUCCCGAAAUGUCCUCCAGAGUCUGUAGGGUGCUUCCAGCGAAGCAACCAGAUAAACCACAGUUCCUGCCAACAGUGCUGGCUUGUAAAGUUUUUUCCCUUCCUUUUUAUGCCUGUGGUGAUAAACAUAUGCUUUGAAGCAUGAGAUUUGAUUAUCCUGUCUUAGUGCUUAUAAAUACAAAUGUGAUUAAUGGUCAUAAGAACCAGGUUGACAGUGUAAGACUAAUUCUUAGCAAAGCAGCCCCGCACAGUGCCCCGAAGGCAGCUGCCUCAGACAGAGGCCUCCUGAGUCGGAGUGAACUGUACCUCUGUCCCCCUCCUCUGACUCCUGUUUUUCCCAGAGAUCUCCUGCCAGCACUUUGGAGGCUCUUCCUCCUUGAUAAUUAAAAUUGGUGGAUUUUUCCCUCCAGAGCUACCUGAGGUAAGUAUCCGAGUCUCUGUCAGGCCAUUAAUAGUCCGGAACUCUGCACAAAGGCACUUGGCCACUGCCACCGUUCCCUACUUGGGCCUGGCGAGUUGCCCACAGAUGUUGGGGACAGCACAACCUAAAUUGGGACAGUUUGUAUUUUAGUAGUGAUGGGGAUAUUCGCUCUCUUCCUCUGUCAUUUUGCAUUAAGGACCUGCCACUAAUAAAACUAAUUAAUAACUGCUG